UCUCCGCCUCCUGAUCCUCACCUCUAAAGUGUGGGGAAGGACUCUACCUUCCUCGCAGCUCUCACUCUGAGGAAAGCAAACAAUCAUUGUGAGGAGCCCUAGAAAGAAGCCCCACGUGACACGGAACUAUUGUCUCUGGCGAGCAGCUGCAAGGACCUGAGGCCUGCCAACAGCCCCAAGAGUGAGCCUAGGAGCAGAUACUUUCACAGUCCAGCCUUCAGAUGAAUGCAGAAAAAGAUAGCACUUUGCAGCCUAGUGAGACACCCCGAGCAGAGGACUCAGCUAAGCUGCACCCAGAUUCCUAACCCACAGUGUGUGAGAGGCCCAUUUCCCAGGGCUCACCAGCAGAGUGUGUUAACAAACUGUUUGCUUUUUCCUAACAAGUGAGGUUCAAACUGAUAGUUUUAAUUUGCAUUUCCUUUAUGAGUAAGGCUUAGGGGUUCUUGAUUUUAUAUUUAAGGAAAUCUUUUUACAUCGUCAAUGAGGCAGAAUUGCCAUUACUGAUUAUCUUUAAGUGUAAUUAUUGGAGUAGUCCAAUGUUAUGAAAACAAUUAACAUGUAUAGUUUUAUUGCAACUUGCUCAGAAAAUGAAAUCAUCUAUAUUGAAUUCAUGUGAAUCUGUUCUUAAAAAAAAAAAGAACUCUUCUGUUCAAUUUAGCAUAUUGUCUAGAUUAUCUGUUCUAGAUCAUGUACUUCAUGAUAGUACCUGUAAAGUAAUAACCGGAUUAAAAAAAUUUUUUUUUUUUU